UUUGAGUGCCUCCUUAGACUUAAUUGAUUUUGCUCAAAUUUUGAACGUAGCUUCUGGGAGUCCAAAACAACUGAUUUUGGAGGUAAGACUUGGCAUUUUUCGAAAUUUUUGUUUUUCAUAUAAGUGUGGGCCACCCUACUCCCAAGGUAUAUGGAGCAAGAGGGUAGAUGUCUGUCU